rnacentral:rRNA from 1 species
AGUGAGCAUAUCAAUGAGCGGAGGAGAAGAAACUAACAACGGAUUCCCCUCGUAACUGCGAGUGAAGAGGGAAAAGCUCAAAUUUAAAAUCUGGCAGCUUCGCUGUCCGAGUUGUAAUUUAGAGAAGUGUUGCCCUUGCUGGACCGUGUACAAGUUUCCUGGAACGGAACGUCAUAGAGGGUGAGAAUCCCGUCUUUGACACGGACUCCCAGUAUGUUGUGGUGCGCUCUCGAAGAGUCGUGUUGUUUGGGAAUGCAGCACUAAAUGGGUGGUAAAUUCCAUCUAAAGCUAAAUAUUGGCGAGAGACCGAUAGCAAACAAGUACCGUGAGGGAAAGAUGAAAAGAACUUUGGAAAGAGAGUUAAACAGUACGUGAAAUUGUUGAAAGGGAAACGCUUGAAGUCUAGUCGCAUCGGUUGGGAAUCAGUCUUGCUUCUGCUUGAUGUAUGUCACAAUCGAUGGGUCAGCAUCAGUUUUGACCGUUGGAUAAAGGUUGGGGGAAUGUGGCAUCUUCGGAUGUGUUAUAGCCUCUGAUUGUAUACAACGGUUGGGACUGAGGAACUCAGCACGCCGCAAGGCCGGGUACUUGUACCACGUUCGUGCUUAGGAUGCUGGCAUAAUAGCUUUAAUCGACCCGUCUUGAAACACGGACCAAGGAGUCUAACAUGCCUGCGAGUGUUUGGGUGGAAAACCCGAGCGCGUAAUGAAAGUGAAAGUUGAGAACUCAUCAGAGUGCAUCGACGCCCGGACCAGACGUUUUCUGACGGAUCCGCGGUAGAGCAUGUAUGUUGGGACCCGAAAGAUGGUGAACUAUGCCUGAAUAGGGUGAAGCCAGAGGAAACUCUGGUGGAGGCUCGUAGCGAUUCUGACGUGCAAA